AGGAAUUCAACAGUCGAACAUCUUUUAGGAUUGCGAUGAAGAAAAGUUAAGUAUCCAGCAGACGUUCGACCCCCAUUUCAGUUGUGCUUUGAGCAGAAGUAGGCACUGGUUUCAAGGACAGUGACAACCACACAAGAUCCUAUUCACCGCCACGAAAGAAUAGAUUGUAUGCACAAGGUAACAACAACCUGGAGUAUUGAGCAAAUGGUAGAGGAGAAUUUGGAGUAAAAAAGGGCAAGUGUGGGAAGCCCCAUUUGUUCAUGCAUUUUUGUCUGUAAAUUCUGUAGUUUCACUUGUAAAUAAAUUAUUUU